AAAGAAACCAACAGGGAUUGCCCCAGUAACGGCGAGUGAAGCGGCAAGAGCUCAAAUUUGAAAGCUGGCUCCUUCGGGGUCCGCAUUGUAAUUUGCAGAGGAUGCUUCGGGAGCGGUCCCCAUCUAAGUGCCCUGGAACGGGACGUCAUAGAGGGUGAGAAUCCCGUAUGGGAUGGGGUGUCCGCGCCCGUGUGAAGCUCCUUCGACGAGUCGAGUUGUUUGGGAAUGCAGCUCUAAAUGGGUGGUAAAUUUCAUCUAAAGCUAAAUAUUGGCCGGAGACCGAUAGCGCACAAGUAGAGUGAUCGAAAGAUGAAAAGCACUUUGAAAAGAGAGUUAAAAAGCACGUGAAAUUGUUGAAAGGGAAGCGCUUGCGACCAGACUCGCUCGCGGGGUUCAGCCGGCAUUCGUGCCGGUGUANUUCCCCGCGGGCGGGCCAGCGUCGGUUUGGGCGGUCGGUCAAAGGCCCUCGGAAGGUAACGCCCCUAGGGGCGUCUUAUAGCCGAGGGUGCAAUGCGACCUGCCUAGACCGAGGAACGCGCUUCGGCUCGGACGCUGNCAUAAUGGUCGUAAGCGAC
rnacentral:rRNA from 1 species